rnacentral:rRNA from 1 species
UACGGGGUGAGCAAGCGUUGUUCGGAUUUACUGGGCGUAAAGGGCGCGUAGGCGGCCACCGCAAGUCGGUUGUGAAAUCUCUGGGCUUAACCCAGAAAGGUCAACCGAUACUGCGGGGCUAGAGUGCAGAAGGGGCAACUGGAAUUCUCGGUGUAGCGGUGAAAUGCGUAGAGAUCCGGAGGAACACCAGUGGCGCAGGCGGCUCUCUGGGUCGGCCCUGACGCUGAGGCGCGAAAGCGUGGGGAGCGAACGGG